CAGAGAAUAGUUUAAAAAAAAAUAUUAGUUUUGGGAAUUAAAAAUAAAGAAAGUAUCUUUUUCUCUGA
rnacentral:tRNA from 1 species